rnacentral:rRNA from 1 species
AUUGAACGCUGGCGGCAUGCCUUACACAUGCAAGUCGAACGGCAGCACGGGAGCAAUCCUGGUGGCGAGUGGCGAACGGGUGAGUAAAGUAUCGGAACGUGCCCAGUCGUGGGGGAUAACGUAGCGAAAGUUACGCUAAUACCGCAUACGAUCUAUGGAUGAAAGCGGGGGAUCGCAAGACCUCGCGCGAUUGGAGCGGCCGAUAUCAGAUAAGGUAGUUGGUGGGGUAAAGGCCCACCAAGCCGACGAUCUGUAGCUGGUCUGAGAGGACGGCCAGCGACACUGGGACUGAGAAACGGCCCAGACUCCUACGGGAGGCAGCAGUGGGGAAUUUUGGACAAUGGGCGAAAGCCUGAUCCAGCCAUGCCGCGUGCAGGAUGAAGGCCUUCGGGUUGUAAACUGCUUUUGUACGGAACGAAAAGGACUGCCCUAAUACGGUGGUCCCAUGACGGUACCGUAAGAAUAAGCACCGGCUAACUACGUGCCAGCAGCCGCCGUAA